CGCACACAUGUCCCCCCCAACCGACUCUGCACCGGAGCCAGCAGACAGGGAAGCUGGCCCCGAAAGGCCUCGGCAUUGCAGUGACACCCCUACCCCUCACCCUCCGCUUUACUGCAAACCAGUCUGAAGAAAGAGCCAGUCCCCAGACAACGCUGAUCAGGAACCCAAAGCUUUUCCUGCACCCUCCCGGGGAAGACAGUCUCAAGGAUGCAGCCCCCAAGGGCGAAAGGGAGAGCGGCACUCUUCAUGCUCCUGGGCGGGCGGACAGGGCGGCGGGAAGGCACUGGCCUGGAGUCCCGGCGCCGAGAGCUGGGUGUGUGGACUUUUGUCGCCUUUUCAUCGGUCAGUGGGAGAAAAGCCCCGACACAAUCCGUACCCCUAUAGAGGGAAGGAGAAGGAAGAUAGUUAAUUCUGGGCAAGGAAAAAGAACACAUUUUUGGAACAGCAAGGUUGUUCCCGAGCAAGGGAUUUGGACGUUGUUUUUCUUCUUCUUUUUUUUUUUUUCUCGUUGAUUUUUUUUUUUUUUUUUUUUUUUUUUUUUUUGGUCUCCAACUUUGGAGUGGGUUACGGACCUUCCGGGGGAGCAUAAGCUGAGCCGAACGAAGGGUGGGGGCUGCAGAACCCGGAAGCCACGCUGGCCCCUCCUCACUCGUUCCCACACUUGCACCCACUGGCGCGCACACGCUUUAUGUCAGUGAUGUGGACCCCCGAACCGCGCCGAGCCGGAUGCAGGCAGGAGCAGCUACUCGGACAGGUGGGGACUGGAGUGGGUGAGGGUUCUUUCGGCCUAGGAGAGCAGCCCCUGGGACUCUUCUGGGAGGGGAGGGAAGAAGAGAGGGAGAAAACCCAAAAAUACAGAAGAAAAUUGGAGGCUAGACGCUGAAUUAACUCUGGAUGACCCACAGGGUGGUGGGGUGGGGGGGAGCGGUGGGAAAGGAGUUGAAUCCAAAUAAGAGUUUAGAUUCUGGGUUUGGGCUAGGUUUCAGUGUAAGGAGAAAAAAAACGAGAUGUUUGAUUAAAGUCAAGAAAAAUAAAUGGACAAGUCUG
rnacentral:lncRNA from 1 species